AGAAAUUUACUCUCUAUGACACGAAUGUAAAAAUUGGUGUUAAGGGACACAGAGUCACGCUCACAAAACUGAAAAGAUAGUUAUCAUUAAGAGACAGGUGCUUGAAUAUUUACAUAUAAAGAUAUAGAGAUAUAACUAUAUUAUAGAGGUUUUGGGGAUUUGAGGAGAAAGACACCCACACAACAGAAGAGAUGAUUUUCAUUAAGAGCCAAGUACUUCUAUAAAUGUAACUAGGUUACAUAUAUUACGAUUUUGAGACUGAGAAAAGAUAGGCUGGAGAGUGAGAAGAUAUGGAAAUUUUCAAAGGGAGUCUGAAUGACCAUUUGAAAGGAUUGUAGUAGAGGGGGUUAUAGAGAGCUGGAAGGAAUCUCAAAGGCCAUCUAGUCAAUUUUCCUUAUUUUACAGAUAAUGAAACUAAGGCCUGAGAUGGAAAUGUGACUCACCUAUUGUAACCUGGAUAAUAUUUAUCAAGUGAGGAAUUUGAACCCAGGUCCUCUGAUUCAAGGAAGACCUUUAAGAUACCUUCCAACUAUAAGAUUCUACGGUUCUGUCAGAACAUACCAAUCCAUUUCAGGUAAGAUAAGAUAACAUAAAUGUAAUAUAAUGUAUGUAAGAAUUUGAAUUUUAGGUUUUAUGCUAAAUAUGAAAGGUUUAAAGUAAUAUUGUGGUCGCCUGUUAAAAAACUUAACUCUUAAGUCAUGAGUCUGUUAGCUGCUCUUAAUUUAGUUUAAUAGAAAUAUAGUAAAAGAGAGAAAUAUAGGAAGGAAAUAGAAAGUAUUGCCUAGGUAGAUACUCUAUAAUUUCUGUCCGGUUCACCACCC
rnacentral:lncRNA from 1 species